rnacentral:lncRNA from 10 species
AGACAGAGUGUCACUCUGUUGCCCAGACUAGAGUGUAGUGGUGUGACCUUGGCUCACUGCAAUCUUUGCCUCCUGGGUUCAAGCAAUUCUCCUGCCUUAGCCUCCUAAGCAGCUGGGACUACAGGUGCGUGCCAUCAUGCCCAGCUAAUUUUUGUAUUUUUAGCAAAGACAAGGUUUUGCCAUGUUGACCUGGUCUCGAACUCUUGACCUCAAGUGAUCUGUCCACCUCGGCCUCUCAAACUGCUGGAUUACAGGUGUGAGCCACCAUGCCCAGCCAAUACAACUUCUUUUGAGCCUACUUCUCCAGCUACUGCCCUGUGUCUCUGCCCUCCUCUGCAGCAAAAAUUACUUGAAAAAGUUGCUUAUACUUUCUGUCUUCUUCUUAUUCAAAUCAGGCUUUUCCCCACCUGCCCCUGAACUUGCUCUCGUCAGGGUAACCAGUGACCUCCAUGUUGCUAAAUCCAAUGGCCGCUUCUCAGUUCUCCUCUAAUUUGGCCUAUGGGCAGCAUUUGGCAAACAUUUUCUUCACUUGCUUCCAAGACACCACAGAGGCUGGUUGUCCUGUUACUUAGUUGAUCCUUCAUGGCUGAUCUCUUUCUGUAUCCUCUUCCUCUUCCUGAACAUUAGCAUGCUAGAAUUCCAUAGGCUCUGGCAUGGUCCUCUACUCUCCUCUACCUCCAUUCACUUCCCAAGUGAUCUCAUCCAGUUCCAUGACUUUAAAUAUCAUCUGUUCCCUAAGAAAUUUUGCUCAACUGCUGAUAACAAAGAUCCAAUUACAGCAGCUUUGACACAAAAUAGUUCAUUCUCUUCCAUAUUAGGAGUCAGAAGGAGGCCAUCCACAGCUGAUAUGGCAUAUUCACAAGGUCAUCAGAAACUCAGGCUGCUUCUGACUUUCUGUUCCAUCAUCUUAGCACGUGGCUUAUAUUCUCAAGUCUGGGACUACAGGCACGCACCACCACAUCCAGCUGAUUUUUGUAUUUUUAGUUGAGAUGGGGUUUCACCAUGUUGGCCAGGAUGGUCUCAAUCUCUUGAUCUCGUGAUCCUCCCACCUCGGCAUCCCAAAGUGUUGCGAUUACAGGUGUGAGCCACUGCUCCCUGCCUAAAUGUGAAGUUCUAAGGGGGAAGAGGAAAAAGAAUAUUUGCCCCAUGGAGAAGCCCAUAGAGGUGAACUGAGGCACUCCAGUUGACAGACCCAGUUGACCUUUCAGGCGACUGCCAUCACCAACUGCAAGCCAUAUGAAAGAGACAUCUUAGACCUCCUGACGCUGUCAAGCCUCCAGAUUUCUGCAGCCCUAUUCAACACCCUGUGGAACAGAAGAACUACUCACCUGAUGCCAGUCAACUCAGAGACUCAUGAAAG